CCGUUCCGGCCUGAGCAGUUCAAACGGAGGUUAGAGUUACUUGUUAUUGGUAAAUAGCCACGAUGCAGGCUAAGGACCAGAAGAAACACAGAAAGAAAAACAGUGGGCCCAAAGCUGAAAAGAAAAAGAAGUGGCAUCUGCGGGAUCUCCAGCUAGGAGACCAAGAAGAUGCCCGGAAGAGAAAUCCCAAAGCUUUUGCGGUUCAGUCUACUGUGCAGAUGGCUUGGUCCUUUCACUGGAUUCAGGCUUUGAAGACAAAGAAGCAUCAUAUUCCAGUGGUUGAUCGAACUCCACUAGAGCCCCCAGUAGUGGUGAUGGUGAUGGGGCCUCCAAAAGUUGGAAAGAGCACUUGGAUACAGUGCCUCAUCGCAAGUCCACCCAGCAGAAGUUGACCGAGAUCUGAGGCCCUGUGACGGUCGUGUCAGGCAGGAAUAAAGGAAAUAAAAAACCACAGUGAUGGCUCAAGAGACCAAUG